rnacentral:misc_RNA from 1 species
GAGAAGAACGUAGUGAAAUGCGAUAAGUAGUGUGAAUUGCAGAAUUCAGUGAAUCAUCGAAUCUUUGAACGCACAUUGCGCCCUUUGGUAUUCCUUAGGGCAUGCCUGUUCGAGCGUCAUUUGAAACCUCAAGCUCAGCUUGGUGUUGGGUGUCUGUCCCCGCCUCCGCGGGGACUCGCCUCAAAAUCAUUGGCGGCCGGUACGUUGGCUUCGAGCGCAGCAGAAACGCGAACUCGAGGCCCGGCGGAUCGGCGACCAGAAGUCUCUUCUUCACAGUUUGACCUCGGAUCAGGUAGGGAUACCCGCUGAACUUAAGCAUAUCAAUAAGCGGAGGA